AGAGAAGAGAGCUUUAUAGCUUCUGCGCCCUAGCAGGGGCCUAAGGUCAAUGCCAUGGAUGGGAAGAGAUUGGGGCGGGCGGGGGGGUAGGUGGGACUUUCCUUAAUUCUAUCUUCAUGUCCAGUGAGCAGUGCUGUGUCCUUCCCUUGUAGCAUUUGGGAAUGAUUUACUGGAAUUACAAAACCUAUUUUCCUUUUAAAUUUCAGCUUUGGCUCUGGCUGCUUUUUAGAAUAAUGCAAGAUAAAAACCACAUCUGAGGGCUAAAAAAAAAAUGAAGAGGGAAUAGGAGACUUGAUAUUUAAGCAGCUUGAAUGGUUUCUUUUCUUUUCUUUAUUUUUAAAGAAAUGCACUUGCCUAUGAUACUGUCUCUCCAGUGAAAUGAUUACUCCUCCAUUACUCUAUUGAUACAAUAUUGUGCAUGCUAGUGUUGUAUUUCUAUACAGUAGCUUGAAAUUUAUUAACUUAUACUGUAGGUGUUAUGUAUUCCUAUGACAAAAAAAAAUUAAGUCUUC
rnacentral:lncRNA from 1 species